UGCCAGCCGCCGCGGUAAUACAGAGGGUGCGAGCGUUGAUCGGAAUUACUGGGCGUAAAGCGCACGUAGGUGGAAAUGCAAGUUGGGUGUGAAAUACCUGGGCUCAACCUGGGAAUGGCCCCCAAAACUGCAUAUCUAGAGUAUGGGAGAGGGAAGUGGAAUUUCCGGUGUAGCGGUGAAAUGCGUAGAUAUCGGAAGGAACACCAGUGGCGAAGGCGACUUUCUGGCCCAAUACUGACACUGAGGAGCGAAAGCGUGGGUAGCGAACAGGAUUAGAUA
rnacentral:rRNA from 1 species